CUGGUUGAUCCUGCCGGCGGCCACCGCUAUUGGAAUUCGAUUAAGACAUGCGAGUCGAGAGUCGUAAGGACUCGGCGGACCGCUCAGUAACACGCGGAUAACAUGCCCUUGGGUGGAGGAUAAUCUCGGUAAACUGAGGAUAAUACUCCAUAGAUCUACUAUGCUGGAAUGCUUGUAGAUCCAAAACUCCGGUGCCCAAGGAUUGGUCUGCGGCGUAUCAGGUCGUAGUGGGUGUAACGGACCCACUAGCCAGUGACGCGUAAGGGCCUUGAGAGAGGAAGCCCUGAGAUGGACUCUGAGACAUGAGUCCAGGCCCUACGGGGCGCAGCAGUCGCGAAAACUUCACAAUGGGGGAAACCCCGAUGAGGGAAUUCCAAGUGUCAGCACAUUGUGUUGACUGUUCCCCUGUCUAAAAAACAGGAGAAGUAAGGGCCGGGUAAGACGGGUGCCAGCCGCCGCGGUAAUACCCGCGGCCCGAGUGGUGGUCGAUAUUAUUGAGCCUAAAACGUUCGUAGCCGGUCUUGUAAAUCCUUGGGUAAAUCGGCCAGCUUGACUGUCCGAAGUCCGGGGAGACUGCAAGACUUGGGAUCGGGAGAGGUCAGAGGUACUUCUGGGGUAGGGGUAAUAUCCUGUAAUCCUAGAAGGACCACCGGUGGCGAAGGCGUCUGACUAGAGCGAAUUCGACGGUGAGGAACGAAGCCCUGGGGCGCAAACGGGAUUAGAUACCCCGGUAGUCCAGGGUGUAAGCGCUGCGGGCUUGGUGUUGAGGGUCCUUAGUGGGCGCCCAGUGCCGGAGAGAAGUUGUUAAGCCUGCUGCUUGGGGAGUAUGUCCGCAAGGAUGAAACUUAAAGGAAUUGGCGGGGGAGCACCACAACGGGUGGAGCCUGCGGUUUAAUCGGACUCAACGCCGGGAAACUCACCGGACAAGACAGCUGGAUGAUAGUCGGGCUGAAGACUCUACUUGACUAGCUGAGAGGAGGUGCAUGGCCGUCGUCAGUUCGUACUGUGAAGCAUCCUGUUAAGUCAGGCAACGAGCGAGACCCACGCCAACAGUUGCCAGCUCGUCCUCCGGGAUGGUGGGGACACUGUUGGGACCGCCUCUGCUAAAGAGGAGGAAGGAAUGGGCAACGGUAGGUCAGCAUGCCCCGAAUUGUCCGGGCUACACGCGGGCUACAAUGGGUGGGACAAUGGGUAUCGACACCAAAAGGUGAAGGCAAUCUCCUAAACCCAUCCUUAGUUCGGAUUGUGGGCUGUAACUCGCCCACAUGAAGCUGGAAUCCGUAGUAAUCGUGUUUCAAAAUAGCACGGUGAAUAUGUCCCUGCUCCUUGCACACACCGCCCGUCAAACCACCCGAGUUGGGUUUCAGUAAGGGUAUCUCUCUUUGGGGUAUUCGAACUGAGAUUCAGCAAGGAGGGUUAAGUCGUAACAAGGUAACC
rnacentral:rRNA from 1 species